ACUGUACUUCAGCCUGGGUCACAGAGUAAGACUCUGUCUCACAAAAAAAAAAAAAAAAAAAAAAAAGACACUUCCGAUUCUAUUCGAGGCCUGCCUGGAUGAUCUUGGACAGUCUCCCCAUUGCACGACCCUUGAUGUAAUCACAUCUGUAAAGUCUCUUGGCAUGUAGGAUAACUUUCACCAGUUCAGGAGAUUAGGAUGUAAGUAUUUUGAGGGGCCAUUUUUCAGACUGCCAUGCCCGUUGUGUGAAGAUACUAUCAUUUAUUUAUCAUUCUACUGUUGAUGAACUUUUUGUGUUGUUUUCAUUUUGGAGCUAUUAUGAAUCAUGCUGCAUGAGUAUUCUCGUGCAUGUUUUUCUGUGUCUGUUAUACGCACGUGCUAGUGUAUGCAUGCACAUACACAACACAACACACUUUUGUGGUGUGUACAUAUUUAGGAAUCAGUCACAUGGUAAAUGUAAGUUUAACCUCAGAACAUAAUGUCAAACAGUUUUCCAAAGUGGUGGUACCAACUUCUGCCCCUGCUAGUGGUAUAUGAGGGUGCCACAUAUCAUUUAUAAAGAAUAGAGCAUAGUUUGGAAGUUUUGUUCCAGAAUUAAACCCAUUGUUAGCCCACAUUUUACACCCUUUGUAUAUGUUCCAGGAUUUUUCAAAGCAUGUUUAUGUGAAUAGGAAUCUGCAGAGACUGUCUGAGAAAAGAUUUAUUUGACUUAUUUUAUCAAAUUAGUGGACCUUGCUGGGAGCCUCACACUGCAGAUGAACACAUUAAAGGUCUUAAUCUUGUUUAAUUUUAUAUUUGUUUGCCUUAUGUCUGUCAGAGUGGAUUGAACUUUGACUCAGUUUCCCUCUUUUGAUGUCUUAAAGAAACAGAGUUCCAAGAGAUACCCUUUGAAAAUUCUGGAUUGAAUCAUAAUUCAGAAUGUUCUUUGCUGAAAAAGUAAUGAGAAGUUUCCUUUUAGAAGGAAAAAAAAAAAACCCGACUAGCAUGUCUUUGAGUAUUCACUCCAUAAAGACCUAUCUAUAGAGAAAUAAAAACUACCAGAAAAUGGGUUGAAUUCGCUCCUAUUUGGUUUUGUUUUAGUGAAACCUGUAGGUUAGGGAAAGUUGAUUUGCAAUACUGCAGUCUUAAAUUUCACAUCAAGGAGCCCAAUAUAUAUAAAAAAAAAAAUCUAGUAACUGAGAACAGUGUCAGUGGGAUUCAUCCAAAAAUGUUUGUCCCUGAUAUACUUAUUUUCCAUCUGGAUCUCUUGACACAUUCCACCACUCCUACCGCUGCUCUUACCUUUUUUUUUUACUUCUCUAAACCAGCAUGUAACAGAACAAUCUGCUUCUUAUUUCUUCUUUCUUUUGGUCAUUACUUUUUGUUGUUGUUGACUUAAAUUCUAAUCUUGUUUAUAUGGGUGAUGUUUCUCCUUGUACCAUAUAAAGGUCAGGAUCCCUGCUCUAGGGCCCACAGCCCACCUGGAAAAUACCCAGCUCUCCUACCUCAAACAGCCCUGUACCUUUGCCAGUGGUGAUCUGAGGAGGACAGGCUGAGACUGAUGGGACCACAGAAUAUGAGUAGGAGAAGCACUGAGAGUGGCUAAAAUGUAAUUUAGAGGUUAAAAUACCAGUGUAUGGAUACCCUGGCCGUGCGCUCUGUAAUUACUUCAACCUUCUGCCUUGACUUAUAUUGAGGAUCAAGCUAGACAUGAAUACAUUACACAAGCGCUAGGAAAUACACUACUCAAAUAAUAUUUUACACUACGAAGUUUGGGCUUGUUUACUCCCCUCCAUUUCCUUUGCAUUUCUUCUUCAAUUGAACCAAUGUCUUUACUAGAACUUUUUAAUACAUGUUUUGGUUUUGCAUUACUCAUUGCAAAUGUUUCAUAAUCGUGCCCUUUUGCAGGGUAUGUUGUGAUGCUUUUAUUAGUAGAUGAGUUGUCAGUAUUUAUCUCUUUCCACAGUGGCUGGUAGGACAAGUGGAGAAUUAGAACUGAGGUUUUAAUCUAAUUUGGUGAUCUCAGUUUUAGAUCUGAAGACUUAGAAACGAGGCCUGGACCAGAUGGCCUCUUAUUUUUUUCAUGAUGGUCUAGUUCUCUCUCAGUGAUGACAAUUACAAUAGCCAAAAUUUAUUUCCGUGUGCCUGAUACUCUCAUAAAAAUCUUAUAUAUAUAUCUCGACUCAUUUAAUUCUAAUGAUAAUUCCAUGAGGAAAGUACUUUUGUAUUCCUGUUUUACAGAUAGGAAAGUUGAGACGCAGAGCUUUGUUUAAGUUCACCCAGCUGGUAAGUGGAGGAGCCAGCAUUCACACACAGGCAUCUGACGCCAGGUCCCUCUUCUUAGUCUUUCUGCUAGACCACCUCUCUCUGGCGACACAUAUGACUCACCCAAGCUGCUCUUUAGUCUCCAGUCUUUUUUAACUACUUAAUAUACAAGGGGGAGACGUGAGUCACCUGAGGAUGUGCAAAUCAGGCCCAUUGCUAGUUGUGAAUGGGUAUGUUCCUGGUGGCCGGGGAGACCUCCCUAGCCACCAAUCUCUGUGCCUUGCCUGUGUCAUUGAAACUGUCCACUAAGUUUUGGUGUUUUCUCCUUAGAGAACACAAGAAUGGUGCUCUCUGACUUUAAAAAUCCAGGAACUGAGAAGGACAGACCUCUCAUUUAUGAAGAUAACAUUGAGAAUCCCUUUCUUGAUGUGCCAGUGUCUGGACAGGCCUGUACUAAUCCUACAGCACAGUGAUUAGAGUCAUGGUCUUCCUUUCUUCUGCAUCUCACUUUGGUCCUGUGCUCAUACUUGGCAUAUCCGUCUGCUGGCAAACCCUGUUUCUCCACUGAAAGUGAAUUCCUUGCAUUUUCUUAAAUCCAUAUCUGAAUAUAAUGCUCAAAACUUUUAUAGCUUUUCCUGCUCUUACUGCUCUUUGUCUUUUUAAAACAAUACCACUUUUUAGACAGAGAAUUCUUGCUUUGCCGUACACUGAGUGGGAGCCCCUGCUCACAUCCGGUCACUGGAGAAACAGCCUGGUAUGUCCGUUGUACUCUGCGGUCCCCACAGGUCCUACCUGUGGUUUUACUAGGCUUGUUUCGUCUCCUGCCCUACUAAAGCAUUGGCUUCUCUCACUUACAUUCUCUCCUUCCAUUGGUAUUUGAAUCUGUUUACCCCACCUAAGGACAGACCUCUGGCAGACUGGUCUUUGAAGUCAACAGAUAUGGGUUUAUGUUACCCCUGGGGUACAUGAUGACUUUCCAAGAGGCACUGGGCCCAUGGAGAGUAACAAGGAAAUUAUUUCAGAUAUUCAGCUUCCCUAUAUACUCUUUCCUAAAACAGAUCCACCUGGGGCACAGCUGGACUAAUGGGUUGCCUGGCUUUACCUCUCCCAAAUCUCAUCAUGUCAUGUAGUCACAGGAAGAAACCCCUACUUCUCGGGGUGCCAGAAAAAGGGGUAAUGAGAAGAUUGUUGUGGCAUAGAGAGAGGGCAUGAAUCUAAUGUCUUAGAAAUUAGUCCUUUUGCAAAUCAAAUGUCUUCUAAUUGUUUUAAACAAAAUUGAAUAUGAUCCUGAACAAUUUGUCAAAAAAUGAUGAUUAUCAUGGAAGUUUGUAUUUAUGAUUUUUUUGGGCAUAAAUCUCAGGAAUUUAAAGAAUUAAGGGCCACGGCUAUCACAACGCUUCUUUAAUUCCCAUCAACCAAUUUACAUAAACAAGGCUUUUGCUUUAAUACUAAAAAAUGGAAUGGAAUUACUGUUGAAAUAUUUCUUAUUCUGACAAUAAAAAUAUUCAUUUAUAGAUACAGAUAUCAAAUUAUUCUGUCCAUCUCAUUGAGGAAUGCAUUUCCAAUAAAAAUUUGAUGCUUUAAUUUUUAAUUAUUAUGAAAUUAUACUUUUGUUCUGUCAGAUUGCAUUCUACUAAUAGUUUUAAUGAUAAUCCAGAUUAAAUUUUUAACAUCUAGAACUAUUUGGUCACAGGAAAUAAAUACGUUUUUAAUUUUCAUAACUGUUUUUGUUGCAGAAAGAGUAUGAUAGUGUGAUCAAUAAACCCUAAAACAUGAAGAUGCUUUAUUGGAAUAAAAUUCUGUGGCAGAAGUGGAAUAGAAAUAUAAGUUUAAAGAAAAAAAAGAAACUAUAAAAAUAUGAGUGUGAAAGGAAAAGUUGUUUAUGUAUAUUUUAUGUGGAUCACUAGGUAUGUAAAUAACAAUGGAUACAUUUAAAAGCAUGAGUAAGGAGAAUACU